CCGAGGUUCGAGAGGAGCUGGCCACCACGACCUCCCUCCCCAGCCGGCCGCCACCACCUCCUCCCCCACCCCCUCCCCCACGUGCCUGGCAUAGGUGGGUCUCAGCCUCCCUCCUACCUCCGUCCAAGGCUAGGAACUCCCCUCCCCUCCCGAUCUCCUCCCUUCGUCCAAGGCCACGAGCUCCCCUCCCCUACCCGAUCUGACGAAGAGAGGGCCAGGCCUUCCACUCCGGUGUUCGAUGUGGCCAGAUCCAGCCGGGGGACUCGCCGCAGAGCCUCCAUGUCGGCGGAGCAGCAGCAGCCCAACAGAAGAUGAACUGCACACCUAAAUGCAGCACUCGUGCAAAGAUGCAACAUCUUGGUCGGCUGCUCGCGGCGGAGCGUGUGGCUGGUGCUUGCAGCAGUGGCAGAGCAGCGUCGGCGAGCGCGACGCAAGUAGUGGCCAGAGCUGCAUGGGCCGCUGCAAGCAUGCCAUCCUGGCAGCACUUCAAGUAUGACAAUGUCCACUCUACACCAAGGUAAGGCAAGAGAUCCGUCUGCUGGUACUAUGAUUGGUCGCUGCACUAUGCUGGCCGAGGCCACACGUCAUCACCUACCCCACCAUGCUGCACCUUUGGAUUGCUUGCUGCCGAGGCCGACGCCAUCUGUCGCCCCUUAACACUUUUUUAAAAUCAUGGAAAAUCUCUUGGUUUCUAUUUCCAAUGCAUAGAACUUCUUCUAGAUGUCCUCACACUUUCUAUUUCCAAUGCAUAGAACCCAAAAAUAUGCUUUUCGGAUGUCUCAGGUAUGGAAUUAAUCACUACUACAAGCUUUGUCUACACUUCAUAAGUUAUAUGGAGCAAGUUGAUCUUUAGAAGAAUAACAUGUGAAAUUCAACUUUUGGAUUUGUUGAAUUAAUAUGAAUGUAGCCUUCUUCCUUCUUGGCCAAUAGGUGCUCGAGUUCUUUAUCUAAUGUGGGUACUGAAUAUAUGUGAGUCCUGUUGUAGCAUAUGAAAGGAGCCUUGAUUGUUGAGGAUUUCACAACUUUAUUACAUCUUUUAUCAUGAUAUAUUAAAUAACUUGCUGGUAUGAUCUGGGAGCAGAUUGUUGCUUUUGUUGGUGAGCCAAUCAAGCAAUUGGAAUAACUAUAAUUUUUUGUUAAUUGCACUCCAGGUUAUCUGCUAUCAGAUUGUUCAUACAACGUGCCACAGCCACUUCUGCAGGAUUUAGAAUUAUGACAAGGAGUCAGGGACACAAUCAGAUUUAUACCAUCCGUUGUGAUGAUACAAGGAAAGUAAACAUAUACGCAUAUUGUGUUCAACGUGAUGAUACAAGCGAAAGCUGGCCUACGCCGCCAACUGAUCUGCGGCAGCAUGGAAGGAGUGUUCAAAAGCAGCAGGAACAGUUGUUCCACUGCUGGUCGGAGGGAGAGCUUGGCAAGGGAGAUAGAGGGAGCUCUACAACCACGAUCUUGGCAUACAACCCGAUGGCAUCAUGCCCACUUAAGCUUCUUUCAUGUUCCAAUUCUUGCAUUUGUUGGUCUUUUACUGUCAGAGCUUACGAAAUCCAUUACAAAUGGAGGUGAGGCCAAGUCGUGAACUUGCUGAGACGUCUUUGCCUUGAAUUCUAAGGCUUGAAUCUAAAUGGAGGUUUUCCAGAUCCUGGGAGUCUAUCCCUUCCAACAAUCUGGAGGUAGCAUAGUACAUCUGUACUCGCAGAGGGAAUAUGUCUGAGCCGCCGUUAUGUGUUUCUACUAAUUAAAGAACAACUAGGGUCACUUGAAAGAAGACGAGCUGGAAGAAUUCUACGAUAGACCAUUGCUUCAAGGUUGGGAGCGGCCACAACAUAAUUGACAUUAAAACCAGAUCUGGGUCCUACAUAUCCGGUCUUGCUCGUAUCCUACAAUGGUUUACAGAUGGUGUGGCUCCUUGCACUAAGAUGAUCGAUCAGAGAUCUAGAGUCCUCAAUACAGUCGAUGACGCCUCCUCAAGAUUCACUUCUUCGUAGCCCCCGACCUUGGUAUAGUAUAAAAACCUACAAAUAAAUCAGAAGAAUAGGCAAUUAUCAGAUGCUUAUGUUUGUUGGUGUAGUAGCCCUCUUAAGUCCAGUCCUAGAGAAGUGUGUCGUAGAAGCAUAUCAGGAAGACAUGGACGUGGAUAUGCAUUAUGGUUGUAUUAUGGACGUGGAUAUGGUCGCUAUAUUAGCUAUAUCUUUUACAUAUUUUUCUGAGUUUGUUCUCAGGGGUGGGUCGUGGCUACCUGAUAACGGUUCAAUUUGGUUGUU